rnacentral:rRNA from 1 species
AGAUCCAGCCAUGCCGCGUGCAGGAUGAAGGCCCUCGGGUUGUAAACUGCUUUUGUACGGAACGAAAAAGCUCUGGUUAAUACCUGGAGUCCAUGACGGUACUGUAAGAAUAAGCACCGGCUAACUACGUGCCAGCAGCCGCGGUAAUACGUAGGGUGCAAGCGUUAAUCGGAAUUACUGGGCGUAAAGCGUGCGCAGGCGGUGAUGUAAGACAGUUGUGAAAUCCCCGGGCUCAACCUGGGAACUGCAUUUGUGACUGCAUCGCUGGAGUUUGGCAGAGGGA